rnacentral:rRNA from 1 species
GGCUGCAUGGUUGUCGUCAGCUCGUGCCGUGAGGUGUCGGCUUAAGUGCCAUAACGAGCGCAACCCUCAUCAUUAGUUACCAUCAGGUAAGGCUGGGGACGUCUAAUGAGACUGCCAUCGUAAGAUGUGAGGAAGGUGGGGAUGACGUCAAAUCAGCACGGCCCUUACGUCCGGGGCGACACACGUGUUACAAUGGGUGGUACAAAGGGCAGCUACCUGGCGACAGGAUGCUAAUCUCGAAAACCGCUCUCAGUUCGGAUCGGAGUCUGCAACUCGACUCCGUGAAGCUGGAUUCGCUAGUAAUCGCGCAUCAGCCACGGCGCGGUGAAUACGUUCCCGGGCCUU